UACAGAGGGCGCGAGCGUUGUCCGGAAUCACUGGGCGUAAAGGGCUCGUAGGCGGCCAACUAAGUCAUACGUGAAAUCCCUCAGCUUAACUGGGGAACUGCGUGUGAUACUGGAUGGCUUGGAUUUGGGAGAGGGAUGCGGAAUUCCAGGUGUAGCGGUGAAAUGCGUAGAUAUCUGGAGGAACACCGGUGGCGAAGGCGGCAUCCUGGACCAAUAUUGACGCUGAGGAGCGAAAGCCAGGGGAGCAAACGGG
rnacentral:rRNA from 1 species